rnacentral:rRNA from 1 species
AGAGCAGCAGUAGCCGCGGGAAUACAGAGGGUGCAAGCGUUAAUCGGAUUUACUGGGCGUAAAGCGUGCGUAGGCGGCUUUUUAAGUCGGAUGUGAAAUCCCUGAGCUUAACUUAGGAAUUGCAUUCGAUACUGGGAAGCUAGAGUAUGGGAGAGGAUGGUAGAAUUCCAGGUGUAGCGGUGAAAUGCGUAGAGAUCUGGAGGAAUACCGAUGGCGAAGGCAGCCAUCUGGCCUAAUACUGACGCUGAGGUACGAAAGCAUGGGGAGCAAACAGGAUUAGAUACCCGGGUAGUCCCUGUCUCUUAUAC